GCAUCUAUUUGGUUGUUCUCUCUUUUCUUUUUUAUCAGUCUGGCUAGUGGUCUGUCUAUUUUUUUGUUGAUCUUUUCAAAAAACCAGCUCUUGGAUUUAUUGAUUUUUUUUGAAGGGUUUUUCGUAUCUCAAUCUCCUUCAGUUCAGCUCUGAUCUUAGUUAUUUCUUGUCUUCUGCUGGGUUUUGAGUUUUUUUGAUCUUGCUCCUCUAGCUCUUUCAAUUUUGAUGAUAGGGUAUCAAUUUUG
rnacentral:lncRNA from 1 species